rnacentral:rRNA from 1 species
UGGGUGAGGUCCCGUGGACGAUUGUACCCUUUGGUUCAUUUACCUGACCUCGGAUCAGACGUGAUUACCCGCUGAACUUAAGCAUAUCACUAAGCGGAGGAGAAGAAACUAACAAGGAUUCCCUCAGUAAUGGCGAAUGAAGAGGGAAAAGCCCAGCACCGAAGCCUGUGGUCGUUUGAUCACUAGGCAAUGUGGUGUUUAGGUCGUUCCGCAGAGGUACUGCUCCAUCCUAAGUCCAGCAAUGAGUACGGCUUUAUGGACGUGGCCCACAGAGGGUGAAAGGCCCGUGGGGGUGGAGACUCGGUAGGCCAGUAUCUCUCUGGGUAGACCUUGGAGUCGGGUUGUUUGUGAAUGCAGCCCAAAGCGGGUGGUAAACUCCAUCCAAGGCUAAAUACAUACACGAGUCCGAUAGCGAACAAGUACCGUGAGGGAAAGUUGAAAAGUACUUUGAAGAGAGAGUAAACAGUGCGUGAAACCGCUCAGAGGUAAACGGGUGGAGUUGAACUGCAAUCUCUGUGAAUUCAGCUGGUGAGCGUGGUUUGGGCUUGGUCAAAUCGAUUGAGUUCCGGGGUCUGUAUUUAUAUAGGUCUCUGUCUUCGGGCAGGGAUGCACGUUGCGCUUAUCAAGCGCGGUGUGCCUCGGAGUAUCGGAUCAGCUUGCCAGUGCACUUUCGCAGAGUGUUCACCACGACCGGCAUGGCUGUCUGGCUGUUGUGGUUAAACCGGCUCUGUAUCGUCCUUGUGGCUUUGCUUGGUCGGGAUGGCAGGUAGCUCGUUGAUGGCUGUAGCUUGCUGCAGUUGUUUUCGGGUGUAAUCAGCUGACUGCAAUGGUUCUGUGCAGCUUGUCGGAGACGGCGGCUAGUUGUGCGUGCGUGCGUGCCGGUCCUAUGGGCAGGUUCGGGUCUGAUUGCCAUGUUGCUUGCGUAAAGCAGGCCUGGUAGUGGCUCGGGUUUGUUCUGUGGGUGGUUGCGUGCGUUGCAUUUUACAGGGCCAAUAGUCUGUGGUGUAGUGGUAGACGAUCCACCCGACCCGUCUUGAAACACGGACCAAGGAGAGUAACAUGUACGCGAGUCAUUGGGCGAAACGAAACCCAAAGGCGCAGUGAAAGUGAAGGCUUGGCUUGUCCUUGCUGAGGUGAGAUCCUGCCGUUUCUCAUGCGCGGUACUACUGAGCAUCGAGCGGUGGGCGCAUCACCGGCCCGUCCCAUGACGUAGAUACAUAGUCUUCGGACCAGUGCACCGUCGGGGCGGAGCAUGAGCGUACAUGUUGAGACCCGAAAGAUGGUGAACUAUGCUUGCGCAGGUUGAAGCCAGAGGAAACUCUGGUGGAGGACCGCAGCGAUUCUGACGUGCAAAUCGAUCGUCAAACGUGAGUAUAGGGGCGAAAGACUAAUCGAACCAUCUAGUAGCUGGUUCCCUCCGAAGUUUCC